UCGUGGCCCCGCGGCCGCCCCUUUGCCCCCGCCACUCGCGCGGCUCCCCGCCGCCCCGCGCGGCUGUGCCCCUCUGCCCCGCGGCCCUCCGCCACGCCGCAGCCCAUCGGCGCCGGCCCCGCGGGCCCCCGCCGCUGAGAAGAAACUGCCAUCUAUUUCAGUGGAUGAAACAUCUGUGCAAAAGAUUCAAGCGUUGACUCCAAAUAUUGGAGUUGUUUACAGUGGGAUGGGUCCAUAUUUCUGCGUUCUUGUGAGGAAAAGCCGGAAGCAAGCCCAGCAGUAUUACCGAUUGUAUAAGGAGCAACACCAAAGUCAGCAUUGGAACUGAUGAACGUGAAGGAUCUUACACUAGCCCAUGUCAAGAGCCACCUGCAGGC